rnacentral:tRNA from 1 species
GACGCCAUAGCUCAGUUGAUUAGAGCAAUCGACUCAUAAUCGAUUGGUCGUAGGUACAAGUCCUACUGGACCCACCA